UGCUUCAUAAAACUUGUGCUUGGUAUGUAUCAUUGUUUUAAAAUCCAAACAAACUGUAUUGUGGUCAGUAAAAUGAAAUAAAUAUUAUAAAAGACUUCGAGAUUGUAUUUAUCAUUACAGAAAAGUGUCAUGGGACCCAUAUUAAGUUUUUCUAAAUUUGAUUUGCUGCACACAAGUAGCUUUGAAGAAGAAGGAUCCCAGCUUAAAGAAAAACGUGUCACAUCCAUAAUUGUUUGACAUCAUCUUCAAGCACACCUGGAUUCCUUGUUGCAAUGUCUUCAAAACAAAUGUAAAAAUGAAAGGAUUUCAGUGGUGAGCUCAUAUGAUGGGAUCAAAAGGAAGUGAACUGGACUCUGAGGGACUUAACACAAGGCAAAUUCAUUUCAAUACAUUUUAUGUCAAGAUUAAUUCUGUGAUUUAAAUUCAUAUUUACACACUCUACAAAUGCUGUCUUCCUACCUCAGAUUGUGAUGGACCUAGAAUGCGACAUCGUUUAUGAAUAAGUCAAGAACCAAAUGAAACACACUAUUUUCCAGAGUACAGAUUAUGGAGGGGUCUGCAAAACUAAUGGAGCAGUUUCUUCUUCUUGGAGUGCCACAGCUUGAUGCUGCAUAUAAGGACUUAGUGAAGGACACAGAAACAUCUUUAAAAGAAAUGGCCCAAUAGAAGGGAAGGAAAGAAGGAAGUACUCAGCAUUGAAAUAUUUUUUUACAGAA